CCUACGGGUGGCAGCAGUAGGGAAUAUUGCUCAAUGGGGGAAACCCUGAUGCAGCCAUGCCGCGUGAAGGAAGAAGGCUUUCGGGUUGUAAACUUCUUUUAAGAGGGAAGAGCAGAAUAAGGUACCUCUUGAAUAAGCCACGGCUAACUACGUGCCAGCAGCCGGGGUAAUACGUAGGUGGCAACCGGUGUCCGGAUUUACUGGGUGUAAAGUGCGUGUACCCGGGCUGACAAGUCAGAUGUGAAAUCCCGUGGCUCAACCACGGAACUGCAUUUGAAACUGUUUUUCUUGAGUGCUGGAGAGGCAAUCGGAAUUCCGUGUGUAGCGGUGAAAUGCGUAGAUAUACGGAGGAACACCAGUGGCGAAGGCGGAUUGCUGGACAGUAACUGACGCUGAGGCGCGAAAGCGUGGGGAGCAAACAGGAUUAGAUACCCUAGUAGUC
rnacentral:rRNA from 1 species